rnacentral:rRNA from 1 species
AGAGUUUGAUCCUGGCUCAGAUUGAACGCUGGCGGCAGGCCUAACACAUGCAAGUCGAACGGUAACAGGAAGAAGCUUGCUUCUUUGCUGACGAGUGGCGGACGGGUGAGUAAUGUCUGGGAAACUGCCUGAUGGAGGGGGAUAACUACUGGAAACGGUAGCUAAUACCGCAUAACGUCGCAAGACCAAAGAGGGGGACCUUCGGGCCUCUUGCCAUCGGAUGUGCCCAGAUGGGAUUAGCUAGUAGGUGGGGUAACGGCUCACCUAGGCGACGAUCCCUAGCUGGUCUGAGAGGAUGACCAGCCACACUGGAACUGAGACACGGUCCAGACUCCUACGGGAGGCAGCAGUGGGGAAUAUUGCACAAUGGGCGCAAGCCUGAUGCAGCCAUGCCGCGUGUAUGAAGAAGGCCUUCGGGUUGUAAAGUACUUUCAGCGGGGAGGAAGGGAGUAAAGUUAAUACCUUUGCUCAUUGACGUUACCCGCAGAAGAAGCACCGGCUAACUCCGUGCCAGCAGCCGCGGUAAUACGGAGGGUGCAAGCGUUAAUCGGAAUUACUGGGCGUAAAGCGCACGCAGGCGGUUUGUUAAGUCAGAUGUGAAAUCCCCGGGCUCAACCUGGGAACUGCAUCUGAUACUGGCAAGCUUGAGUCUCGUAGAGGGGGGUAGAAUUCCAGGUGUAGCGGUGAAAUGCGUAGAGAUCUGGAGGAAUACCGGUGGCGAAGGCGGCCCCCUGGACGAAGACUGACGCUCAGGUGCGAAAGCGUGGGGAGCAAACAGGAUUAGAUACCCUGGUAGUCCACGCCGUAAACGAUGUAAAGUUGGAGGGUGUUCCCCUUGAGGCGUGGCUUCCGAAGUUAACGCGUAAGUUCGACGCCCUGGGGAGUACGCCCGCAAAGGUAAAAACUCAAAUGAAUUGAGGGGGGCCCGCACAAGCGGGGGAGCAUGUGGUUAAAUCGAUGCAACGCGAAGAACCUUACCUGGUCUUGACAUCCACGGAAGUUUUCAGAGAUGAGAAUGUGCCUUCGGGAACCGUGAGACAGGUGCUGCAUGGCUGUCGUCAGCUCGUGUUGUGAAAUGUUGGGUUAAGUCCCGCAACGAGCGCAACCCUUAUCCUUUGUUGCCAGCGGUCCGGCCGGGAACUCAAAGGAGACUGCCAGUGAUAAACUGGAGGAAGGUGGGGAUGACGUCAAGUCAUCAUGGCCCUUACGACCAGGGCUACACACGUGCUACAAUGGCGCAUACAAAGAGAAGCGACCUCGCGAGAGCAAGCGGACCUCAUAAAGUGCGUCGUAGUCCGGAUUGGAGUCUGCAACUCGACUCCAUGAAGUCGGAAUCGCUAGUAAUCGUGGAUCAGAAUGCCACGGUGAAUACGUUCCCGGGCCUUGCACUCACCGCCCGUCA